GAUGAAAUAGUUCCAAAGGAGUAUAUUCAAUUACCAUCUACAGUCAACUCAACUAUGACAACAAAGUCUUUUGUGACAAGUUUUUUAAAGUUUUGAAAGUUCCAUCUGGUUUGUUUCUGUCAGUCUCAUGUAUUUUGGUACAGUUCGAGAUCAGCAUUGUUACAGUAACAAAAAAGCUAACAAGACUACAGUAUAGAAAAACACCAAGAACAUCAUUUUUGGUUUCACUUGCUCUAGUUUUUGUACAUUGCAAAGGCUGUUCAUAACCCUCUUCACCUCAUUUAUGCUUUCUGUUCUACCGAAACUCGCCCCCCCAAAAUAAAACCAAAAAAAUAGUCAAAGUUUUGUUUCACAGUGGGCAGUAUCAGUGCCAACCAACCGACCAACCAACAAUCAAGCGACCGACCAACUGACCAACCGCCCGACCAACCAACCCAACUUCUGCUUCUAUUUAAAAGCUUUUAUUUUUUUUUUUUUUAAAGCAAAAUAUAUUUUGGUGAGCGUGCUGGCUGUGUCCACCCACCUUGUCCCCCACCAGCCCCAGGUGGCCCCGCACACCCCUGAUGCUUCUCUUUAUUCUCAAUUGUAUGAAACUUUGGCCAUCUUCACCACUUAAAAAAGCUUUUUAUUAAAAAUAAAACAGAAACCCACUUAAUGCUAAGUAUGAAGUGUUUUCCUCGUGCCCAGCCUGGCCCUGCUCUGCCACUUGCUGGAAAGGCCACGCGUGGGCUGGGGGUGGCGCGAGGCUGGCGCUGGGGUCCCCGCACCGGCCCCGCGCAGCCCAACUGCAAGAGGAGGAGGAGGAGGCAACCUCGCACUGAAAGAGUCUCUAGAAACAUUUAGAAAAAAUACAAGGAAAUGAAUUUAUAAAACCUUUUAGUGGAUGGGAAGGAGGAGGGGGAAGGAGGAGAGAGAAAUUGCACUAUGACCAAGCAAUAUAAUUAAAAAAACAAAACAAAACAAGACAUAAAAAGGAUUUCCAAAAGAGACCUUGCAGAAUUGGACAGAUAAAGCCUGUGUUAAACUGGAAACUGGCAUCACAGAGAGAAUCCAAAACAAAACAAACCAAAAAAAUUUCUAUAUGAUACAGACAGAGUAACAUACAACAGUUAAAUGGCAAAAAAUAUAUAUAUAUAUAUAUUUCAUAGAAUUACAAACAAGAUAAAAUAAUGAAAAAAAAACUGUACAACUUUAGAAUUUAAAAAAUGUUCAUCUCAAACACAGGGAGAAAUACAAGAACUUCUGUUAAAGAAAACAGUUUGUUAAAACAGCAAACGCUCCAUGGGUACGUGGUUCUGUUUUUGACACCUUAUGCUACAGCUGGGUCCCGGGAGGAACAUCCGGUGGUUCGCGCUUUAGUAUCAACUACUUAAAAAACAAUUAAAAAAGGAAUUUGCACUGUGCAUUAGCCUAGUCAGAAAUAUGUACAACAGUUCAGGAUCUAGUCUUUCAUCAAACUAAAACCAAAACUCCAUAAAAAUAUAAGUGUCCCGCUAGAAACCGAGCCCGCACUCCGACGCUCCAGUCUCUCACGGAGGUGGCGAGUGGCUUCGGCCCGGGGAGGAGCAGCCGGAGGCAGCGGGAGGAACCUGCGUUCACAGUCUUCGAAGUUCCCUUUUGAAGCAGGAGGAGGAUGAUGAUGGUGGGCAGAAGGCUCUCGUGCUUUCGGGCAGAGGAAACACGGUGGAAAGAGGUUGUUUCUGUUGGCAUUUGGUUAUGGAAGGGAACAGCAAAGUAUCUACGUCUCCAAAAUCUACAUUUUAGCAGCAUAAAGUUUUCCUUUCAAAGUCUGGGCCAGUUGAGGUGCAUGCGGGCUGGGGGGGCCGGGGGGCUCCGGGCCUCCCUGAGCCUGGCACCCGGUGCUGCCACGGGGAGAUCUUGGAAAGAGAAACCUGCCUGGGGUGCACUGGGUGCUCACUAAGAGUUGUCUCUCUGCUUGCAGAAGAAGCACAGAUAACAACCUGGGUACGUUUUUUUAUUCUUUAUUUAAACUUAGACUUGUUUGUUUAAAUCAGAAACAAAUUCUCAAGUAAAAAGAAUCCUUUUUGCUCAUUCUGCACCAGUGGUGAAGGGUAUGUCUUUGGAUUUUAUUUAAAGCAUGAAUUUUCUUUAGAGAAAAAAAUGUAACAAAACCUUUUUUUUUUUUUUUUCAAAAGAAGGAACAGAGUGCAGCCUAAUUACACAAACAGAACUGAUGCUCAGAGGUCAGGAACAGAGUCUUUGAAGCAUUUACAAAAUGAGUAAAGGAACAGGGGAAGAAAAAGGGAAGAAAAAAAGAGAAAUGGAAAAUGAGAAUAAAAUAAGUGCACAAGGGUAACAGACAUAGGUAAAUCGCAUGUAUAUGCCUUAAAAAGUUUCAAACCCCCAACAAAAAAUAUUCUGCAAGGGAUCCUACUGACCCCCAAAACCCUUUGAACUUCUUUCUUUAGUUUUUAUAAAAUAAUUAUGCAACCACCCUCUAAGAAAUGAAGGUAGCGACCAUAAGUGGAAGAUUACAGGAUGGGGACGGGGAUAAAGGUACAAAGGGGAGAAAAGCUCAGGCGAGUCGAUGGAUCGCAAUCUAUCUGUCUAGGAAUGAACAAGACAACAUCAAAUGAGAAGCCGUCAGCUGGACCAUACAAAAGCUAAAUGUACACAAAAGGGUUUUUUCUUUUAAAUCUACCAUACUGCUUCAGUUCAUUUCCAAUGCAACAAUCUACUCAACACCAAAAAUGGUCAUAUCUAUCAUAAAUACAGAAAGUCAGUUGUUUUAAAACUUAUUUUUUUAAGCUCCAAGUCCUCAACACUCUUUGUUGUGGUUUUUUUUUUUUUUUUUCUGAAAAGUGGGAGUGCUUA
rnacentral:lncRNA from 1 species